GUGGGGAAUUUUGGACAAUGGGGGCAACCCUGAUCCAGCCAUUCCGCGUGAGUGAAGAAGGCCUUCGGGUUGUAAAGCUCUUUCGGCAGGAACGAAACGGUGAGCUCUAACAUAGCUCGCUAAUGACGGUACCUGAAGAAGAAGCACCGGCUAACUACGUGCCAGCAGCCGCGGUAAUACGUAGGGUGCGAGCGUUAAUCGGAAUUACUGGGCGUAAAGCGUGCGCAGGCGGUUGUGUAAGACAGGUGUGAAAUCCCCGGGCUUAACCUGGGAACUGCGCUUGUGACUGCACGGCUAGAGUAUGGCAGAGGGGGGUGGAAUUCCACGUGUAGCAGUGAAAUGCGUAGAGAUGUGGAGGAACACCGAUGGCGAAGGCAGCCCCCUGGGCCAAUACUGACGCUCAUGCACGAAAGCGUGGGGAGCAAACAGGAUUAGAAACCCCGGUAGUCC
rnacentral:rRNA from 1 species